CACUGAUAAAGGCAAGGGAAACGCAACAUACUUGUUUGUCUCUUACAUAUGUCCCCUUAUCGCAGGGUUUCACAGAGCAGCAGCAGUCAGAACACAGACAUGAAACGCUAACAGGUGUGUUUCUUUCUCCGUAACUGUCUGUCUGUCUGUCUGUCUGUUCUCAACCAAACGGUCAUUCAAGACCUUUUGAAGCACAAACGUUUCCCGUGCAAGUUUGAAUCUCUCUCAGUAAGGACUAACUGACUGGCUUUCUGUUCUCAACCAAACGGUCAUUCCUACUUGUAAAAACCUUUUAAAGCACAAACAUUUCCUGCGCAAGUUUGAAUUUCUCUCAGUUAGCAGGAAUGCGUCCAGCAUAAUUUUGGCUCUUUACCAUUGAGGAGACUGGCUGACUGACUGUUCUCAACCAACCAUCAUUCACUAACAAAAACUUUAAAGGUAAGUAUGAACGCGUCUAGAGUUUUCAAUCUUUACCAUUGAGGAGGCUGACUGACUAUCAUCUAUUACUACAAGUGGACCUAUUCAUUUACUCAUUAUGCUGUGAGUACACCACAGUUUUAUCAUUGAAACAAUAAUGUUUGUUGUUUCUCACUGCUUGGCAUAGACAAAUGUGACCCUGUGUAAUUUGGAAAUUUCUUGGGAAAAGUGUACAUCUUUUAAAUGUCUUUUAAAUGUUUAAAUGUCGUUUGAAUUAAGGAACAGUACACUGAUUUAUUAAAAGUGUACAAUACAAAUCUAAAUAUAAUAGUGUAAAUAUAGUGUAAAUCUAAUAUUAGUUUUAAUGUGAAUUUGGACUGAACU